GGAUGUGAGGGCGAUCUGGCUGCGACAUCUGUCACCCCAUUGAUCGCCAGGGUUGAUUCGGCUGAUCUGGCUGGCUAGGCGGGUGUCCCCUUCCUCCCUCACCACUCCAUGUGUGUCCCUCCCGCAGCUGUGCGCUAGGUCGAAGAGGACGGCCUUCCCCGAACAGAGACGGACAGGUCUUCGGUCGAGGGUGUACGAGUAGCUGCGCUCCCCUGCUAGAACCUCCAAACAAGCUCUCAAUAACAUAAAAAGAUGUCUACUUCAAUAUUAAAAUAUAAAACCUUGACAAGACCAUAGGAUAAGAGGGGUACAACUCCACACAACUCCCACCACCAGAGCUCCAUAUCU
rnacentral:snRNA from 1 species